UAGGGAGUUUCGACAAUGGGGGCAACCCUGAUCGAGCAACGCCGCGUGUGUGAUGAAGGUCUUCGGAUUGUAAAGCACUUUUAUAAGGGAUAAAUGGUAUUGAUAGUGGAAAGAUUAAUAUUUGAUAGUACCUUAUGAAUAAGUAACGACUAACUUCGUGCCAGCAGUCGCGGUAAUACGAAGGUUACGAGCGUUAUCCGGAAUUAUUGGGCGUAAAGAGUGAGCAGGCGGUUUAUUAAGUUUGAAGUCAAAUGGAUAGGCUCAACCUAUUCUCGCUUCAAAAACUGAUAGACUAGAGUAUGUGAGAGGUAAGUAGAACUCCAUGUGUAGCGGUGAAAUGCAUAGAUAUAUGGAAGAAUACCAGUGGCGAAGGCGGCUUACCAGCACAAGACUGGCGCUCAGUCACGAAAGCGUGGGUAGCAAAUAGGAUUAGAUACCCUGGUAGU
rnacentral:rRNA from 1 species